rnacentral:rRNA from 1 species
AACGAACGCUGGCGGCAGGCUUAACACAUGCAAGUCGAGCGCCCCGCAAGGGGAGCGGCAGACGGGUGAGUAACGCGUGGGAAUCUACCCAUCUCUACGGAAUAACGCAUGGAAUCGUGUGCUAAUACCGUAUACGUCCUUCGGGAGAAAGAUUUAUCGGAGAUGGAUGAGCCCGCGUUGGAUUAGCUAGUUGGUGGGGUAAGGGCCUACCAAGGCGACGAUCCAUAGCUGGUCUGAGAGGAUGAUCAGCCACACUGGUACUGAGACACGGCCCAGACUCCUACGGGAGGCAGCAAUGGGGAAUACUGGACAAUGGGCGCAAGCCUGAUCCAGCCAUGCCGCGUGAGUGAUGAAGGCCCUAGGGUUGUAAAGCUCUUUCACCGGUGAAGAUAAUGACGGUAACCGGAGAAGAAGCCCCGGCUAACUUCGUGCCAGCCGCCGCCGUAACAC